AUUGAACGCUGGCGGCAGGCCUAACACAUGCAAGUCGAACGAGUGGCGGACGGGUGCGGAAUGUCAGGGCAACUGCCUGAUGGAGGGGGAUAACUAAUGGAAACGGUAGCUAAUACCGCAUACCAUCAUAUGUGCCCAGAUGGGAUUAGCUGGUUGGUGGGGUAACGGCUAACCAGGGCGACGAUCCCUAGCUGGUCUGAGAGGAUGACCAGCCCAACUGGACUGAGGACACGGUCCAGCGCCCUACGGGAGGAAGCAGUGGGGAAUAGUGCACAUGGGGCGCAACCCUGCUGCAGCACUGCAGCGUGUAUGAAGAAGGCUUUCGGGUGGUAAAGUACUUUCAGCGGGGAGGCGUUACCCGCCGAGGAAGGACCGGCUAACUCCGUGCCAGCAGCCGCGGUAAUAC
rnacentral:rRNA from 1 species